UGUUCUGUGGCUUAGUUGGUUAAAGCGCCGGUCUAGCAAAUACGGAGUCGUGGGUUCGAGUCCCACCAGAACGC
rfam:Aedes albopictus isolate Foshan contig81085, whole genome shotgun sequence.